rnacentral:piRNA from 1 species
UGAACAAAAUUGCAAGACUGC